rnacentral:rRNA from 1 species
AACGUAGGAGGCGAGCGUUAUCCGGAGUUACUGGGCGUAAAGAGCGUGUAGGCGGGUGUGCAAGUUUGGCGUGAAAGCUCCCGGCUAAACUGGGAGAGUGCGCUGAAGACUGCAUAUCUAGAGGCGAGUAGAGGGACGUGGAAUUCCGGGUGUAGUGGUGAAAUGCGUAGAGAUCCGGAGGAACACCAGUGGCGAAGGCGACGUCCUGGGCUUGACCUGACGCUGAGACGCGACAGCACGGGGAGCGAACGGGAUUAGAAACCCUAGUAGUCC